AGACCCGAAACCCGGUGAUCUAGCCAUGGGCAGGUUGAAGGUUGGGUAACACUAACUGGAGGACCGAACCGACUAAUGUUGAAAAAUUAGCGGAUGACCUGUGGCUGGGGGUGAAAGGCCAAUCAAACCGGGAGAUAGCUGGUUCUCCCCGAAAGCUAUUUAGGUAGCGCCUCGUGAAUUCAUCUCCGGGGGUAGAGCACUGUUUCGGCUAGGGGGCCAUCCCGGCUUACCAACCCGAUGCAAACUGCGAAUACCGGAGAAUGUUAUCACGGGAGACACACGGCGGGUGCUAACGUCCGUCGUGAAGAGGGAAACAACCCAGACCGCCAGCUAAGGUCCCAAAGUCAUGGUUAAGUGGGAAACGAUGUGGGAAGGCCCAGACAGCCAGGAUGUUGGCUUAGAAGCAGCCAUCAUUUAAAGAAAGCGUAAUAGCUCACUGGUCGAGUCGGCCUGCGCGGAAGAUGUAACGGGGCUAAACCAUGCACCGAAGCUGCGGCAGCGACACUCAGGUGUUGUUGGGUAGGGGAGCGUUCUGUAAGCCUGCGAAGGUGGCCUGUGAGGGUUGCUGGAGGUAUCAGAAGUGCGAAUGCUGACAUAAGUAACGAUAAAGCGGGUGAAAAGCCCGCUCGCCGGAAGACCAAGGGUUCCUGUCCAACGUUAAUCGGGGCAGGGUGAGUCGACCCCUAAGGCGAGGCCGAAAGGCGUAGUCGAUGGGAAACGGGUUAAUAUUCCCGUACUUGGUGUUACUGCGAAGGGGGGACGGAGAAGGCUAUGUUGGCCGGGCGACGGUUGUCCCGGUUUAAGCGUGUAGGUGUGUGUUCCAGGUAAAUCCGGUUCACUUUAACACUGAGGCGUGAUGACGAGGCACUACGGUGCUGAAGCAACAAAUGCCCUGCUUCCAGGAAAAGCCUCUAAGCAUCAGGUAACAUCAAAUCGUACCCCAAACCGACACAGGUGGUCAGGUAGAGAAUACCAAGGCGCUUGAGAGAACUCGGGUGAAGGAACUAGGCAAAAUGGUGCCGUAACUUCGGGAGAAGGCACGCUGACAUGUAGGUGAAGUGAUUUACUCAUGGAGCUGAAGUCAGUCGAAGAUACCAGCUGGCUGCAACUGUUUAUUAAAAACACAGCACUGUGCAAACACGAAAGUGGACGUAUACGGUGUGACGCCUGCCCGGUGCCGGAAGGUUAAUUGAUGGGGUCAGCGCAAGCGAAGCUCCUGAUCGAAGCCCCGGUAAACGGCGGCCGUAACUAUAACGGUCCUAAGGUAGCGAAAUUCCUUGUCGGGUAAGUUCCGACCUGCACGAAUGGCGUAAUGAUGGCCAGGCUGUCUCCACCCGAGACUCAGUGAAAUUGAACUCGCUGUGAAGAUGCAGUGUACCCGCGGCAAGACGGAAAGACCCCGUGAACCUUUACUAUAGCUUGACACUGAACAUUGAGCCUUGAUGUGUAGGAUAGGUGGGAGGCUUUGAAGCGUGGACGCCAGUCUGCGUGGAGCCGACCUUGAAAUACCACCCUUUAAUGUUUGAUGUUCUAACGUGGACCCGUGAUCCGGGUUGCGGACAGUGUCUGGUGGGUAGUUUGACUGGGGCGGUCUCCUCCUAAAGAGUAACGGAGGAGCACGAAGGUUGGCUAAUCCUGGUCGGACAUCAGGAGGUUAGUGCAAUGGCAUAAGCCAGCUUGACUGCGAGCGUGACGGCGCGAGCAGGUGCGAAAGCAGGUCAUAGUGAUCCGGUGGUUCUGAAUGGAAGGGCCAUCGCUCAACGGAUAAAAGGUACUCCGGGGAUAACAGGCUGAUACCGCCCAAGAGUUCAUAUCGACGGCGGUGUUUGGCACCUCGAUGUCGGCUCAUCACAUCCUGGGGCUGAAGUAGGUCCCAAGGGUAUGGCUGUUCGCCAUUUAAAGUGGUACGCGAGCUGGGUUUAGAACGUCGUGAGACAGUUCGGUCCCUAUCUGCCGUGGGCGCUGGAGAACUGAGGGGGGCUGCUCCUAGUACGAGAGGACCGGAGUGGACGCAUCACUGGUGUUCGGGUUGUCAUGCCAAUGGCACUGCCCGGUAGCUAAAUGCGGAAGAGAUAAGUGCUGAAAGCAUCUAAGCACGAAACUUGCCCCGA
rnacentral:rRNA from 1 species